UGCACCAGUUGUCACGCCAGUGGCACAGCUGGGUAGCUAUGUGCGGACGGGAUAAGCGCUGAAAGCAUCUAAGCGUGAAGCCCCCUUCAAGAUGAGACUUCCCAUAGCGCAAGCUAGUAAGACCCCUUAUAGACGAUGAGGUUGAUAGGUUCGGUGUGGAAGUGCAGUAAUGCAUGGAGCUGACGAAUACUAAUCGGUCGAGGACUUAUCCACA
rnacentral:rRNA from 1 species